UGGAACUGAUGAAAAGUGUUUGAAAUGACGAUGUGGUGGAAAUCACACAUGAGCGUUUCUCAAGAUAGUCAAGUACUGAUCCAG
rnacentral:snoRNA from 1 species